UACAGAGGUCUCAAGCGUUGUUCGGAUUCAUUGGGCGUAAAGGGUGCGUAGGUGGCGGGGUAAGUCAGGCGUGAAAUCCCCGAGCUCAACUUGGGAAUUGCGCUUGAAACUACGGUGCUGGAGUAUGGCAGAGGGAGGUGGAAUUCCACGUGUAGCGGUGAAAUGCGUAGAGAUGUGGAGGAACACCGAUGGCGAAGGCAGCCUCCUGGGCCAAUACUGACGCUCAUGCACGAAAGCGUGGGGAGCAAACAGG
rnacentral:rRNA from 1 species